AGAUUUCGACGAAAGAUUUAUCGGUAUUGGAUGGGGGAUGCGUCUGAUUAGCUUGUUUGGCGGGUAAAGGCCCACCCAAGGCAACGAUCAGUAGGGGUUCGUGAGAGGAAGGUCCCCCACAUUGGAACUGAGACACGGUCCAAACUCCUACGGGAGGCAGCAGUGAGGAAUAUUGGUCAAUGGGCGAGAGCCUGAACCAGCCAAGUAGCGUGCAGGAUGACGGCCCUAUGGGUUGUAAACUGCUUUUAUAUGGGAAUAAAGUGAGGGGACGUGUCCCUUAUUGCAUGUACCAUACGAAUAAGGACCGGCUAAUUCCGUGCCAGCAGCCGCGGUAAU
rnacentral:rRNA from 1 species